rnacentral:rRNA from 1 species
UACGGAGGGGGCUAGCGUUGUUCGGAAUUACUGGGCGUAAAGCGUACGUAGGCGGCUUUGUAAGUUAGAGGUGAAAGCCCAGAGCUCAACUCUGGAAUUGCCUUUAAGACUGCAUCGCUUGAAUCGUGGAGAGGUUAGUGGAAUUCCGAGUGUAGAGGUGAAAUUCGUAGAUAUUCGGAAGAACACCAGUGGCGAAGGCGGCUCACUGGUCCGGUACUGACGCUGAGGUGCGAAAGCGUGGGGAGCAAACAGG